AAAUUGAAGAGUUUGAUCAUGGCUCAGAUUGAACGCUGGCGGCAGGCCUAACACAUGCAAGUCGAACGGUAACAGGAAGCGCUUGCUGCUUCGCUGACGAGUGGCGGACGGGUGAGUAAUGUCUGGGAAACUGCCUGAUGGAGGGGGAUAACUACUGGAAACGGUAGCUAAUACCGCAUAACGUCGCAAGACCAAAGAG
rnacentral:rRNA from 1 species